AGGAAACAGCCUGUAAAGCCUAAAGCUGCGUGUUUACAACUCUCCCUUUGUUCUCCUUAUUUCAAGGAGGAAUCCACAAAGACUCCAGAGAGAGAAUAACCUGACUCAUCUGGAGUGAUCUCAAACCAGACAUCUACAAACAGAAAGUACUAUGCCCCAUUUUCCUAUCAAUGCACUUUUCGGAGAGGAGACAAACAAAAGUACAAAGUCAUUACUUGGACCAGGAAGUGUAUCUGAUACACAGGAAGUGUAUCAGAUUGUGGGAGAACAGACACAGAAUAGGAUGGAGAGGAAAGGAAUAAAAACUAUGACACUAAGAGUUGGAGAGGAUGUGCCCAUUCAUGAAAUAAAACCUGGACAGGGUAAGGGGAGAUCACAACCUUUUUAUGCCGUGUGAACACUUACCAUUAGAGCCUGAACUGAAACGAAGCCAUAGAAAAGACAAAAACCUGCACAAAAGAAAAGGGGAAAAGCAGUGAUUACUGACAACACAAGUGAAUAGUGAUGAGUACUGUCCAUACCCAUGCAUUGAAUAGUUGCUAAGCAAGAGAGAGGAAGACAAGUACAGUGCUCAGCCUCAGACGAAGCCCAACCUUUCACUGAACUGCAGUUACCAAUGGAAGAUCUAGCAUCUCAACCAGAUGUGAUGUCAGACCAAGCACAGCAGCUAGAUUUAUUCAUUGACAAAUCCACUACAGAGCCUGCAUCCUCUUUGACCAAAGAGCCCCACAUCCUGCACCAUGAC